GACGAACGCUGGCGGCGUGCUUAACACAUGCAAGUCGAACGGAAAGGCCCUGAUUGCGGGGUACUCGAGUGGCGAACGGGUGGGUAACACGUGGGUGAUCUGCCCUGCACUUCGGCAUAAGCCUGGGAAACUGGGUCUAAUCCCGGAUAGGAGCCAUUUUCAGUGUGAUGGUUGGAAAGUUUUUUCGGUGUAGGAUGAGCUCGCGGCCUAUCAGCUUGUUGGUGGGGUAAUGGCCGACCAAGGCGGCGACGGGUAGCCGGCCUGAGAGGGUGGACGGCCACAUUGGGACUGAGAUACGGCCCAGACUCCUACGGGCGGCAGCAGUGGGGAAUAUUGCACAACGGGCGCAAGCCUGAUGCAGCGACGCCGCGUGGGGGAUGACGGCUUUCGGGUUGUAAACUCCUUUCGCUAGGGACGCAGCGUUUGUGACGGUACCUAGAUAAGAAGCACCGGCUAACUACGUG
rnacentral:rRNA from 1 species